rnacentral:rRNA from 1 species
GACGAACGCUGGCGGCGUGCUUAACACAUGCAAGUCGAACGGAAAGGCCCUGCUUUUGUGGGGUGCUCGAGUGGCGAACGGGUGAGUAACACGUGAGUAACCUGCCCUUGACUUUGGGAUAACUUCAGGAAACUGGGGCUAAUACCGGAUAGGAGCUCCUGCUGCAUGGUGGGGGUUGGAAAGUUUCGGCGGUUGGGGAUGGACUCGCGGCUUAUCAGCUUGUUGGUGGGGUAGUGGCUUACCAAGGCUUUGACGGGUAGCCGGCCUGAGAGGGUGACCGGCCACAUUGGGACUGAGAUACGGCCCAGACUGCUACGGGAGGCAGCAGUGGGGAAUAUUGCACAAUGGGCGGAAGCCUGAUGCAGCAACGCCGCGUGCGGGAUGACGGCCUUCGGGUUGUAAACCGCUUUCGCCUGUGACGAAGCGUGAGUGACGGUAAUGGGUAAAGAAGCACCGGCUAACUACGG